GACGAACGCUGGCGGCGUGCUUAACACAUGCAAGUCGAACGGAAAGGCCCUGCUUUUGUGGGGUGCUCGAGUGGCGAACGGGUGAGUAACACGUGAGUAACCUGCCCUUGACUUUGGGAUAACUUCUGGAAACUGGGGCUAAUACCGGAUAGGAGCUCCUGCUGCAUGGUGGUGGUUGGAAAGUUUCGGCGGUUGGGGAUGGACUCGCGGCUUAUCAGCUUGUUGGUGGGGUAGGGGCUUACCAAGGCUUUGACGGGUAGCCGGCCUGAGAGGGUGACCGGCCACAUUGGGACUGAGAGACGGCCCAGACUCCUACGGGAGGCAGCAGUGGGGAAUAUUGCAGAAUGGGCGGAAGCCUGAUGCAGCAACGCCGCGUGCGUGAUGCCGGCCUUCGGGUUGUAAACCGCUUUCGCCUGUGACGAAGAGUGAGUGACGGUAAUGGGUAAAGAAGCACCGGCUAACUACGUG
rnacentral:rRNA from 1 species